GAUAAACGCUGGCGGCGCACAUAAGACAUGCAAGUUGAACGGACUUAAUCGAAAUAUUUAUCUUUUGAAGCGGUUAGUGGCGGACUGGUGAGUAACGCGUAAGGAACCUGCCUAUUAGAGGGGAAUAACAGUGAGAAAUCAUUGCUAAUACCGCAUAUGCCAUAGAUAUCACAUGAUAACAGUGGGAAAGGAGCAAUCCGCUAAUAGAUGGCCUUGCGUCUGAUUAGAUAGUUGGUGGGGUAACGGCCUACCAAGUCGACGAUCAGUAGCCGGACUGAGAGGUUGAACGGCCACAUUGGGACUGAGGUACGGCCCAGACUCCUACGGGAGGCAGCGGUCGGGAAUAUUGCGCAAUGGAGGAAACUCUGACGCAGUGACGCCGCGUAAAGGAAGAAGGUUUUCGGAUUGUAAACUAUUGUCGUUAGGGAAGAGAAAGGACAGUACCUAAGGAGGAAGCUCCGGCUAACUACGUG
rnacentral:rRNA from 1 species